UACGGGGGGGGGCAAGCGUUGUUCGGAAUUACUGGGCGUAAAGGGCUCGUAGGCGGCUUGUCACGUCGGGUGUGAAAGCCCGGGGCUUAACCCCGGGUCUGCAUUCGAUACGGGCUAGCUAGAGUGUGGUAGGGGAGAUCGGAAUUCCUGGUGUAGCGGUGAAAUGCGCAGAUAUCAGGAGGAACACCGGUGGCGAAGGCGGAUCUCUGGGCCAUUACUGACGCUGAGGAGCGAAAGCGUGGGGAGCGAACAGG
rnacentral:rRNA from 1 species